rfam:Oryza sativa Japonica Group DNA, chromosome 2, cultivar: Nipponbare, complete sequence.
UUUAAGUGCAACCAUGAGUUUCCAUGUCCAACUUUGAUCGUCUGUUUUAUUUGAAUUUUUUUUAUAAUUAGUAUUUUUGUUGUUAUGAGAUGAUAAAAUAUGAAUAAUACUUUAUUCAUGACUUAUGUUUUUAAAUUUUUUUAAAUAAGACGGACGAUUAAAAUUGGGCACGGAAAAUUAAGGCUACACUUAAA